GGCCACGGGGAAACCCGGGCCCGUCCAUCUCUCUGAAUGGCCGCCAGAGGGCGCUACAAGGCUGCGUCCCAGAUUUUGGGCAGUCAGGGAUGAGCAGAGUGUCUGCUUCACACAAGGAUCUUCAUUCAUUGUGGGAAAACACUGGAGACACAGCAGGAGCAUAAAAGGAAGAGGGCCUCCAUAUGUGAUCGCCAACAUUGCUGGGAGAGCACAGAAGAUCACGUAUCCCCUGAAUGAAGAUUCAAUCCACAGCAUCAAAUGCUAAAGAUAACCUGAUGUAUAGAUGCUAAGAAAGGAUUCUGAACCUGGACCACCCAGUGGAAUGAUGACCAAUCCUUAAGAAAACUUAAGUCACUGGUACAGGAAAACUCUAUAAUCCAAACUGUUUCUUUCUAAAUGGUAUGUUGUAACAGAGGAAGAAAAUGAACACACAGUAAGACACCCAUUGGGCCAGGAGGCAGCAGCAACAGCAAUCCCCAGAAAAGGAGUAGACCGCUGCUACAGGGACGGGGAGCCAUGUUUGACACUCAACUCACGUCUGGUUGUCCCAGUCCUGCUCCUUACAGUACAUGGGUGACUGUAACAACUGCAUCUUGAAACAUGGAUCACUACAAGGGCCUAAGCUGGAUGUGAGAGUCUAAGCCACCCAACACGAAUUAGUUCUAAAAGAGCUCCCUAGUAAGUGUCCUGCACACCACCGAUCAAUAACUUUUCAUCCUGGAGACAGUCCCAAGAGAACCAACCUACAAGACAGCUGCCAUUUGAUCGCUGGGUAUAAGCUCACCUCUGGAUCUGACUUGUGUCUUCUCUAACCCCAAGAAUCCGAGGUACAAAUUUGCAGCAUACCUA
rnacentral:sRNA from 1 species